rnacentral:rRNA from 1 species
GUACACUCCUGCGGGAGGCAGCAGUGGGGAAUUUUGGACAAUGGGCGAAAGCCUGAUCCAGCAAUGCCGCGUGAGUGAAGAAGGCCUUCGGGUUGUAAAGCUCUUUUGUCAGGGAAGAAACGGUGAAAGCUAAUAUCUUUUGCUAAUGACGGUACCUGAAGAAUAAGCACCGGCUAACUACGUGCCAGCAGCCGCGGUAAUACGUAGGGUGCAAGCGUUAAUCGGAAUUACUGGGCGUAAAGCGUGCGCAGGCGGUUUUGUAAGUCUGAUGUGAAAUCCCCGGGCUCAACCUGGGAAUUGCAUUGGAGACUGCAAGGCUAGAAUCUGGCAGAGGGGGGUAGAAUUCCACGUGUAGCAGUGAAAUGCGUAGAUAUGUGGAGGAACACCGAUGGCGAAGGCAGCCCCCUGGGUCAAGAUUGACGCUCAUGCACGAAAGCGUGGGGAGCAAACAGGAUUAGAUACCCGUGUAGUCCCA